GCGACGUGAUGCCUCAGACCGGUAUGAACUAUGAGGGCAGGAGGAGAGGAACACGUCGCAGCACCUGUAAAGCCAACGGUCUGGCCCCAGGCGCAGAUUUGGUUAAUGGAGCCGUUGUCCACAAUGGCUACCCAGCAGCUGCCACUAGAACCAAUGAGACCACACCAGCUGGUACACUGAAUGGAACCAAACCACAAUGCAUGGUUAAUGGAUAUAUUAACCACAAGUACAAGAGUAGAAAUGCGUCGCCACCAAGGACACUCAGGAAGCAUGGUAGCACUAUUCCAGCUGUCAGUGAUGCCUCAACAGCUGGCAGGGUCAACAGUGCAGACAAUUCUGGUGGUAUCUCAGUAAAUGGGGCCGCCAGUCUAGACACUGUUGCCUCACACUGUUAUUCUGAUCAAAUGGCUCCAGAGCCCAGCCUGUCAGCGGGGGCAAAGAAUCGGAGAAGAUGGAAGAAAUGUGGACGAAAGAAGAGACCCCCAACGCUGCCACCACAGGAGCAGGAGGACUGGGAAAGUGAGAUCCAAGAGGUGACGGUUCCCGACUGGGAAAAGAUGUGUUUUGGGGUCAGACCCUAUGGUCCAGAGGAUGUGCUCCACUUCGCUUUGCGGGAUUUGAGACUUAGGCAAACGCAAACCGCUGACCUGCCGUUGACAGCCAAUUACAGACCAGCAUUACACCACCCACGCCCUGUCAAAUGGUCCUGCUACAGCAUCCCCACUGAGCCGGACCAGUUUGCAGAUGCUGACGACUAUCAUGAUCUCAACCUGAAGAUGCCGUCUGUGAAACACAACACAGGCCGACAACAAAGCUGCUGCCCUGCUGACGGCUCAGGCAGCGCAUGCCAGGCAGCACGGAAAGACGAGAAGGAGGAGAGAAAUCAGGAGGAGUGA
rnacentral:lncRNA from 1 species